AACGAACGCUGGCGGCAUGCCUAACACAUGCAAGUCGAACGAGACCUUCGGGUCUAGUGGCGCACGGGUGCGUAACGCGUGGGAACCUGCCCUUAGGUUCGGAAUAACUCCCCGAAAGGGGUGCUAAUACCGGAUAAUGUCUUCGGACCAAAGAUUUAUCGCCUUUGGAUGGGCCCGCGUUGGAUUAGCUAGUUGGUAGGGUAAAAGCCUACCAAGGCGACGAUCCAUAGCUGGUCUGAGAGGAUGAUCAGCCACACUGGGACUGAGACACGGCCCAGACUCCUACGGGAGGCAGCAGUGGGGAAUAUUGGACAAUGGGCGAAAGCCUGAUCCAGCAAUGCCACGUGAGUGAUGAAGGCCUUAGGGUUGUAAAGCUCUUUUACCCGGGAUGAUAAUGACAGUACCGGGAGAAUAAGCGCCGGCUAACUCCGUG
rnacentral:rRNA from 1 species